GCUUCUGUAUACUGAUGCAUCCAAGAAUGUGUUGGAAGAGUAAUUUAAAUGACUAAUUCUAUCAGUCUGUGAAAAGUCUAAUCCAAGUAUAUGAUUGUAUACUUAAAUCUGGGGGGAAAAAUAUUGAAAUAAAGGGAGGGAUAAGGACAUGUUAGGAAACCACAAAUUAGAAGUUUGGUCAGUUUUCAUUGUUGGUUCUUUGUCAUGUACAGUGAUGUAAUCAGUGUUGUUGGCUAAGGAAGAUUCUCUGUAGAUCUCAUUGCGAUAGUAAGGAUGCCUCUACACCACAUGCUCCCAAGAAGACUAUACAGAUUGACCACAGAUAAGCAGCUCUGCUGACCUCAUGGGUGAGGCGGGAGUAGGCAGCAGGCGUGGG
rnacentral:lncRNA from 1 species